GACAGAGGAUGCAAGCGUUAUCCGGAUUCACUGGGUUUAAAGGGUGCGUAGGCGGGCAGGUAAGUCCGUGGUGAAAUCUCUGAGCUUAACUCAGAAACUGCCAUGGAUACUAUUUGUCUUGAAUAUUGUGGAGGUAAGCGGAAUAUGUCAUGUAGCGGUGAAAUGCUUAGAUAUGACAUAGAACACCAAUUGCGAAGGCAGCUUACUACACAGUUAUUGACGCUGAGGCACGAAAGCGUGGGGAUCAAACAGG
rnacentral:rRNA from 1 species